GGAGGUAUAGCCAAAAGGUAAGGCAAGGGUCUGCAAAACCCUCACUUCUGGUUCGAAUCCAGAUACCUCCUCCA
rnacentral:tRNA from 1 species